CCUACGGGGGGCAGCAGUGAGGAAUAUUGGUCAAUGGACGAGAGUCUGAACCAGCCAAGUAGCGUGAAGGAUGACUGCCCUAUGGGUUGUAAACUUCUUUUAUAUGGGAAUAAAAUGUUCCACGUGUGGGAUUUUGUAUGUACCAUAUGAAUAAGGAUCGGCUAACUCCGUGCCAGCAGCCGCGGUAAUACGGAGGAUCCGAGCGUUAUCCGGAUUUAUUGGGUUUAAAGGGAGCGUAGGUGGAUUGUUAAGUCAGUUGUGAAAGUUUGCGGCGCAACCGUAAAAUUGCAGUUGAAACUGGCAGUCUUGAGUACAGUAGAGGUGGGCGGAAUUCGUGGUGUAGCGGUGAAAUGCUUAGAUAUCACGAAGAACUCCGAUUGCGAAGGCAGUUCACUGGACUGCAACUGACACUGAGGCUCGAAAGUGUGGGUAUCAAACAGGAUUAGAUACCCCUGUAGUC
rnacentral:rRNA from 1 species